rnacentral:rRNA from 1 species
UACGUAGGUCCCGAGCGUUGUCCGGAUUUAUUGGGCGUAAAGCGAGCGCAGGUGGUUUAUUAAGUCUGGUGUAAAAGGCAGUGGCUCAACCAUUGUAUGCAUUGGAAACUGGUAGACUUGAGUGCAGGAGAGGAGAGUGGAAUUCCAUGUGUAGCGGUGAAAUGCGUAGAUAUAUGGAGGAACACCAGUGGCGAAGGCGACGAUCUGGCCUGCAACUGACGCUCAGUCCCGAAAGCGUGGGGAGCAAACAGG